UCUGCCCUGUCCAGAGAGGACACUCACGUCCUCACCAGGGAGGGAGAGGGCGACUGGCUGGGGAGACUGGAUUUUCCCAGGAGCAGCUUUGCCAAAGGCAGGGGCUCCCUUGUACCCACAGAGCCAACAGCCCUUCCAACCCCCAGCCCCACCAACACCUUUAAUGCUGUCCACGGUUCCCUUCUCCUCUGCUCUGCGGCACUCGAAGCCUGUCCUUGCCUUGCUGGCCACCUGGGGCCACCCCUUCCCCCACAGCCACGGGUAUAAAACUAUAUUCAUUCUGUGAAACCUGGGAUUAAGUCUUCACGCAAACAUUGGCUGUAACAAUUGAAAAGUGACUUCACCAAGGACUGAUGUGCAGGCCCCAGUCUGCCUACAGAUCUGUCACAGUGGAACACUGCUCAGCGCUUCAUCCUUCACAAUAAAUGGCCAGACUCGGUCAAGAUAACCACGCUGGUGGAGACCAGGCAACUGCAAGGUGGGAGCCACGGAGAGAACACUCCAGAAAACAGGCUGGCUUGUCAUCUCCGGGAAGAAGCCGUCCUGCUUGGUGUCCCGAAAGGCCCAAGUGUGAGCUGGAGGGCUUUCAAGCAAGCCUGGGAUUCUUUUCACAAGUUAGAGGUUCUCCAUUUGCGAGCACCUGCCCCCGGCUAUGCGCCGGGAGUCUCCAAGGACACCCCCUGGGACAGCACACGAGUCCAGGAGGACAACCCAGCCAGGGCUGCGGGGCGCAGCUGCCCACGCGAGGGGCCUCCGGCCAGCCAGGAGCCGCCUCCCAGGCCCAGCUGCAGGGCUGGGUUUCCUGCAGAGCGCGAUUCUGGAGCCGGGCCGCUAAGCCCGUGACGCGUGUUUAUGGUUCUCACUGCCCCCGGGGACAGCUGCAGGCCUCUCCGCCCGGCCAGGGCCUGGUCAAGGGCUGCUGGAGCUGGAAACCCUGGCAGCUGCUAAUCCCCUAAAGCCUCCCCGGCUUUGAGCAAUCGGAGCUGUUUGUUCUUCUCAGUAAACAGCUGUUCUCCCAGUGACUGCCCAGAUCGUGUUAAAUAUUAACAAAGCUGCCUCCACAGCCCCUCGCUGGGCGUCUGCUUUAAAUAUUUAAGUAAUUGCCUUUCGGUCCCUGAGUGACUUUGGCUCAAAUUGCUCCGUCACCGCACUUGCCUUCGGGUUUAUGGAGCAUCGGGAAGUGCCAGCGCUCCUGUUCUCUCUCCUCUGCUGUCUGUCCCCUCUGGACAUCACUCAGGCCCUGGGUCAGAUGUGAAUGGCCAGAGUGCGCCCCGUCUCCCUCUCACAUGUGUGUGUCUGUGCAUGUUUGCAUGCUCAUGUGUGCGUGCGCGCGCAUUCUUGUGUGCAUCUGUUUAUGUGCGCACGGGUGCUCAGGUGCGCGCUUCUGCGAUCUGUCCUCUCGGGGGCCGGGCAUCUCCGUCCUAGUGCACUUUGACCUCUAAGCCGUACUCUAGUUUGCUCUUCAUCCGCGUCAGGGUUCAUCUGAGACCUGUGACUCCUCUGCUGAAGGCUCACUGCGAAGAUCAGGAAAAAGGACUAGGAGUUCAGAGAGCAGCCUCUGCACCGCUGCCGGCAGAAAGGGGCACAGAGCUCAGGGCUCCUGGGAGCUCGGGCUAUGCCGUAGUUUCUGUGUCCGCAUGGCCUCUGGUCAUAACCACACGCCUUUGGAACGUCCUCCCAGAAACCACAGAUUCACUUGGAUUCAGCUGUGGAUCUGGCUCCAAACAGGCACUAUGGGGGAACCACAAGGCAGUGAGCUUCUCUAGCUUCAUCCUUCCUUGGCUGAAGGUUGGGGAUGAAACCACUGAAGGUCUCCAUAGAAAACGUGGAAAAUUCUGGCCCCUAGCUGGGGUCUUCUAUCCCCGUCGGAGCCAACAAAUUUGUUGGAUAACAAAUUGGCAUCCAUCUCCAACGUGGGCUGGACAUUUCUCACCUAGUUUUGUGGCAUCACCUGUCCUACGGCUGCUUCCCGUGGGCAGAGCCUGUUGUAGGUGCGGCCAGCAGCACUUGAGCCUGUGUGGGAGUCACGGGCCCCAACCAUGCUGGCAUCUCUGCUUCUCACGCCCCUCCCUAAAUGGAGAAAAUAGAAUACCUGUCUCUUAGUAUUCGGAGAUUACAGUAGACCCCAUCUGUGAAGUGUGGUGCCUGGACACGGUGAACCAGCAACAUAAGCGCUGGAGCCACAGCCAUGACCACAAGCUGGAAAGAAGCAUUGCGUGGGUGGAGCAGGAAGUGUCUAGGUUGCACAUGGGGGUCACUGGUAGACAAUGAGCUGGCUGCUGUGGUCCAGGCUGGCCUGGAAGCGGGGAGCAUUAGCAGUCAAAAAUUUUGAAAAAAAGAAGAACACGAAAUGAUUCUAUAAGCUGGAAAGCAGGUGGAUGGGUAUGAACGGAGGAGAAAGGACAGAAGAGUCCAGCCCGGGACAUCGCCAGAGGGAGGCUCAGGCUGCUGGUACCUCCCUCAACCAGAGGGGCACAGGCUGCGAGCUGGCAGGUCAGGAGGUGGGGGAGGGGAAGGCUGAAAAGUGCAGGACUCAUUGGAAAUCUGCUUAUGAAGUAGCUCAGUCUGGCCAUUCCCCACCCCAAGGCACAGAACAACGACAACCUCAGGCCACAAAAUGGGCUUUUAUUUAGAGACAUUGAACAAGCUUUCUGAUGUGCAAGAAUUAACUCUAAAGCUAUGCUUCUCAAAAUACGUUCCCUACUAGCAGCAUCAACAUCACCUGGGAACUUGUUAGAAAUGCAGGUUCCAAGGUCCACCCCAUACCUGCUGAAUCAGAAGCUCUCAGCCUUGCGGCCCACUGGUUGUAUUUUAACCAGCCUCCUCCCACCCCACCCCCUCUAGGAGAUGAAGGCCACACACUGUAGGCUGAGGAUCCCUGAUCUAGAACAGAGCUCUUCAUUCUUGGCUGCAUAUUGGAAUCACUUUAGAAAAUGCUGAUGCCUGGGGCCCCACCCCCUAAAAAGAUUCUGACUUCAUGGGUUUUGCACAUUGCCCAGGCAUCAGGAUUUUUAAGACAUCCACCAGCCAGGACAGAGAACCACUCCAUUAAGGCCUUCCUGUUUCACACGCAUCAGCCGUCAGCCCAAUUGCUUAGGCCUGAAGCUUCUCAGCCAGAAGCCCUGUCCACUUAGAUCUCACUGUCACCCUCCUCAGCUAAAGGAGAGGACUAGUGGAGUCCAGACUGACCGCAGCCACAGGGGAAUCACGUACCAAGCACCCAGGACCACUGGUCUGGAGCUCUGCUCUCAAACAUGAAAGGAGGUAUAAUGGUCCCAGGCACAUAAGAGAGACCCGCCAUGUGAAUGAGAAAUAGGAAGAUAAGCAAGCCAGCCAGCCCUAUAGGAAAAGAAACAACGCAGGGAUCACAAGAUAAUUCCUAAAAAUUCUCAUAUCCUCAAAGGGAUAUGAGAAGUUAUUAAGUCUGUGAAACAAAAACCAAUGCUAUGAAAAGGAAAUAAUUACAUAAUCAAGAAGAAAUUUUAAAAAUUAAAAAUGCAAUCUUUUAAACAAAACUUUCAAUAAAAGAAAAACUGGGAUGCUUCCCAGAAAAUAGGAUAGAAAUGAGAAAAAAAACUGAAAACAUGAGAGAGAUGGGGAAAAAAGACAAAUAGCAAUUCAAACCAGGAUCUCCAACGUCUGCCUAUUACAGUCCCAGAACAAGCAGAGAACAGGGAGGGGAAAGAAGCAAUCUCAGAUGGACUGAAGGGUAUCUUCUCUGAGGUAGGAGCUGUAAGUUGUCAGACCGAGGACACCUAUAAGGGUCACUCGGGGUGGAUAAUGAAAUGUCCACACCCAGACACAGCCUCAUGAAUCUGAGAACAUGAAGGAUGAAAGGCAGGUGCUGCAAGCAUUCAGGGAGAAAAUAAACAAAUACAAGCGGACUGCCUGUAAAGAAAUAAAGCCCAGACCUCCUCAGGGAGGUUGCGUUCUAGAAGACAAAGGCCUUCCAAGGCUUAAGAGGAAAUAUCUUGAAUGUAGAAUUCUGUACCUGCUGAAACAAUUCUCAAAAGGAUUUGGACUAACAAAAGCAGUUUGAAAACUUGUAGAAAUUCUACAAGCUUUUCUUGUGGAGUUUCCUGAGGAAGUACUCCAGCAAAACAAGGAGGAAAAUCAAGAAGGAAGGAUCCAAGAAACAGGCUCUUGGUGAAGGGAAGUCCUCAGAGGACAUGGAUGCAGCAACCUGGGGGACCCCUGGUCAGGAGGGUCUGCAGGCCAGAAAUCCCAGGUAAGCCCUGCGGGGCAGCUACAGCCCUUCAGCCUUUGCCUCCAUCACCACCUGGUGUUCCGCGUGAGUGACUGUUUCCUCUUCUCAUAUGUACCACAGUUGUAUUGGAUCAGGACCCACCGUCAUUCAGCAUGACCUCACUUGAACUUGAUCAUGUCUGCAAAGACCUUGUUUCCCAAUAAAGGACACAUUUACAGUGAUUUUUUUUCUAAGGGGAGGUUUACUUAUCCCUCACUGAUGGUGUUGAAGAAAAAUGGGGCAGGAGAGGAUGACUGUGUACUGCUCUCUGGUGAGUCCCUGGGAUGGGCCACUAAGUGAGGGUCUACAGCUUUUCGUGGGAAAGAAUUCAAGAGUGAGACUAGUAAAGGGAAAGCAGGUUUACUGAGAGAGACACACUCCACAGACACAGUGUGGGCAUCUCAGAAGGCUAGAGGCAGCUGGGAAAUAUGGAGUGGUUAGCUCUUGCUGCUGUUAAGUCACUUCAGUCGUGUCUGACUCUGCGUGACCCCAGAGAUGGGAGCCCACCAGGCUCCCCCGUCCCUGGGAUUCUCUAGGCAAGAACACUGGAGUGGGUUGUCAUUUCCUUCUCCAAUGCAUGAAAGUGAAAAGUGAAAGGGAAGUCGCUCAGUCGUGUCCGAUUCUUCGCGACCCCAUGGACUGCAGCCUACCAGGCUCCUCCAUCCAUGGGAUUUGCCAGGCAAGAGUACUGGAGUGGGGUGCCAUUGCCUUGGGUAAUUUCACAGGCUAACUACUGGGAGAAAGCGGGUGGAUUUCCAGGCUUUGGGGCCCCACCCACUUUUGGCCUUUUAUGGUUCCCCGGAACUGUCAUGGCGCCUGUGGGCAUGGCUUAGAUGCUAAUAUAUUACAAUGAGCGUAUAAUGAGGCAGACCUUCCACCAGAAGUCCAACCUUCCACCAUUUUGGGCCCAUUCAGGCUCUGCCAGCUUUAGGUCAAGUCGCCCACUGCCUUUUAGCGGCCGUACCCUACCCCUUCCAUAUUGUUUCACUGGAAGUUGAGGAGCAGUUAGGAGACACACUGUGUAGAGCCAGCGGCCACCUGGGGCCCAUGUGAAGGCGGACGGCACCCAGGCGUGGGGCUGCCAGAGACACCCUCAGGACCUAGCUGAGGAGGAGCCAGGACCGCCCGCCUCUGGAGCCCCCGCGAACCCGUGAGACUAGGGAAAUGAUGUUAAAUGAAAAGCGAAUUUGAGUGAGUUUCCUAUUCGAGUUCAGAAUGGGUCAUAAAGCAGUAGAGCAACUUGCAACAUCAACAGCGCAUUUGGCCCAGGAACUGCUAAUGAAUGUUACAGUGCAGUGGUGGUUCAAGAAGUUUUGCAAAGGAGAUGAGACCCUUGAAGAUGAGAAGCACAGUGGCUGGCCAUCGAAAGUUGACAAUGACUAAUUGAGAGUUAUCAUCAAAGCUAAUCCUCUUAUAACUACAUGAGAAGUUGCCAAAGAACUCAACAUUGACUAUUCUACAGUAAUUUGGCAUUUGAAGUAAAGUGGGUGCCCCGCGAGCUGACUGCAAAUCAGAAAAAUUGUUUUGAAGUGUGGUCUUCUCUCAUUCUAUUCAACAGCAAACAAACCAUUUCUCUUUGGAUUGUGACAUGCAACAAAAAGUGGAUUUUAUAUGAUAACCACUGAUGACCCCUCAGUGACUGAACCUAGAAAAGCACUUCCCAAACUUGCACCAAAAAAAGGUCAUGGUCACUGUUUGUUGGUCUGCUGCCCAUCUCAUCCACUACAACUUUCUGAACCCAGGUGAAACCAUUACAUCUGAGAAGUAUGCUCAGCAAAUCGACCAGAUGCACCCAAAAUUGUCAUACCUGCAUCUGGCAUUGGUCAACAGAAUAGGCCCAGUUCUUCACCAUGACAAUGUCUGACCACACAUUGCACAAUCAACACUUAAACAUUGAACGAACUGGGCUACAAAGCUUUGCCUCAUCUGCCAUUCUCACCUGACUUCUCACUAGCGGACUAGCAUUUCUUCAAGCAUCUUGUCAACUUUUUGCAGGGAAGAUGCUUCCACAACCAGCAGGAUGCAUAAAAUGGUUUCCAAGAGUUUGUUGAAUCCUAAAGCAUAGAUUUUUAACCUUCAGGGAUAAACAAACUUAUUUCUCGUUGGCAAAAAUGUGUUGAUUGUAGUGGUUCCUAUUUUGAUUAAUAAAGAUGUGUUUGAGUAUGGAUAUAAUUAUUUAAAAUUCACGGUCCAAAACCAAAAUUACGUUUGCACCAAUCUAAUAGUAUCUUCAGAGAAAUUUGGGUGAGAUUUUGCAUCCACAAAAUCAGAACUGGUUGCUAUGAAAAGAGAAUCAGAAGCAGUGGUUUUUGUUUGUUUGGUUUCUGGCUUAGAGCAGCAGCAGCAGUCCUAGAGGCUGGAAAUCAGGUGUUGGCAGGGCUGUGUUCCUUCUGAGGGCUCUAGGGGAGAAUCAUGAGGCUUUUGGAAGCUAAGCAUUCGGACAGAGGGCUGAGAGACAAAGCUGAGGAGACCAUUUGGAUGUGAAACACAGGGACGAAGAGAUUUAAAAUAUAAGAGAAAACAUAAGGGACCUAUAGCAUUACUCCAAGAGAGCCCCACCCAGGCUAUCCAUUUUUAGACAGAAGAUGGAGAGAAAAAUAUUACCAAAAAAAAAAAAAAAGCAAACUUUUUGUUCUUUCUUUUAAAAAUUUUAUUAAAAUAUAGUAGAUUUAUAAUGACUAACAAAUUUUUAGAUUUGUUAGUCGCAAGUAUGUAGUAAUUUAGUUAUAUGUAUAAACUAUAUAGCUAUAUAUUCCUUUUUCUACAUUCUCUUCCAUUGUAGGUUAUUACAAGAUAUUGAGUGAGUAUAGUUCCCUGUGGUAUACAGUCAGUCCUUGUUAUGUAUUUCAUAUAUUUGUAGUUGUUGUUUAGUUGCUAAUUCAUGUCUGACUCUUUUGCGACCCCAUGGACUGUAGCCUGCCAGGCACCUUUGUCCGUGGGAUUUCCCAGGCAAGAAUACUGGAGUGGGUGGCCAUUUCCUUCUCCGGGGGAUGGUCACAACCCAGUGGUUGAACUCACAUGUUCUGCAUCUGCAUUGGCAGGUGAAUUCUUUACCACUGAGCCACCCGGGAAAGCCCGCAUUUAUAUAUAGUAGUGUGUAUGUUUUAAUCCCCAGCUCCUAAUUUAUCCCUCUCCCCCAUCUCCUUUGUUUUCUAUAUCUGUGAAUCUGUUUCUGUUUUGUAAAUAAGUUAAUUUACAUCCUUUUUAAAUUGCACCUACAGCUUAUAUCAUAUGUUAAUUUGUCUUUCUCUGUUUGACUUGCUUCACUUGGUGUGAUAAUCUUGCAUGUUGCUGCAAGUGGCAUAAUUUCGUUCUUUUUUAUGGCUGAGUAAUAUUCUGUUGUAUCUAUGUACCACAUCUUCUUUAUCCACUUAUCUGUUGAUGGACAUUAAAAUGGUUUCCAUGUUUUAAGUACUGUAAACAGAGCUGCAGUGAACUUUGGGGUGUAUGUACCUUUUCAAAUUAUGGUAUUCUCCAGAUAUAUAUGCCCAGGAGGGAGAUUGAAAGAUCAUAUAGUAGCUCUAUUUUUAGUUUUUUAAGGAACCUCCAUACUGUUCUCCAUACUGACUUUACCAAUUUAUAUUCCCACUGACAGUCUAGGAGGGUUCUCUUUUCUCCACACUGUACCUACCAUUUACUAUUUGUAGACUUUUUUGUGAUGGCCAUUCUGAUCAGUGUGUGUGAGAUAAUACCUUAUUGUAGUUUUGGUUUCCAUUUUCUAAUAAGUAAAAAAUUGAACAUCUUUUCAUGUGCUUUUUGGCCAUCUGUAUGUCUUCUUUGGAAAAAUGUCUUUUUAGAGCCUCUGCCUAUUUCUUUUUUUAUUGGGUUUGUUAUUUUUUUAUGUAUAUCCUGCAAAUUUACCAAAUUCAUUGAUGAGCUCUAGUAGUUCUCUGGUAGUGUUUUUAGGAUUUUCUAUGCAUAGUAUCCAUGAAAUUAAAAGACACUUACUCCUUGGAAGAAAAGUUAUGACCAACCUAGAGAGCAUAUUGAAAAGCAGAGACAUUACUUUGCCAACAAAGGUCUGUCUAGUCAAGGCUAUGGUUUUUCCUGUGGUCAUGUAUGGAUGUGAGGGUUGAACUGUGAAGAAAGCUGAGCGCUGAAGAAUUGAUGCUUUUGAACUGUGGUGUUGGAGAAGACUCUUGAGAGUCCCUUGGACUGCAAGGAGAUCCAAGCAGUCCAUUCUGAAGGAGAUCAGCCCUGGGAUUUCUUUGGAAGGAAUGAUGCUAAAGCUGAGACUCCAGUACUUUGGCCACCUCAUGCGAAGAGUUGACUCACUGGAAAAGACUCUGAUGCUGGGAGGGAUUGGGGGCAAGAGGAGAAGGGGACGACAGAGGAUGAGAUGGCUGGAUGGCAUCACCGACUCGAUGGACGUGAGUCUGAGUGAACUCCGGGAGUUGGUGAUGGACAGGGAGGCCUGGUGUGCUGCGAUUCAUGGGGUCGCAGAGUUGGACACGACUGAGCGACUGAACUGAACUGAACUGAACUGAUGCAUAGUAUCAUGUCAUCUGCAGACAGUGACAGUUUUAUUUAUUCUUUUUGAAUUUG
ensembl:lncRNA